UGAGCCCUGAAGAUUCUCUGAGUUCCUCUUCAUACCAACUGGUAGAGAUCUAUCAAUUCUCUUAACCACAUGGAAGGACAUGAGACUGUGGCAUGUUGCAGAGAAUCUUCUACUGUGAAGGAAAUCCAGCUCACACCACUUGUCCAACCAACUCCCAGGAAAAGCAUGUCAGUUUACACUGAGAUGGAGGAACGCUGAAAAGCAUAACAGUAUCAGACUUUGGGAUGUAAUUAAGCCUGGAGGCAAAUCCAGGAUCGGUGCGGAUGAAGGAGUCACAGAUCAGGAAGAAGGAUGGGAAAAGGAGCCAAAAAACCUUACCCUCGGGUUAGAGAGUCUACACAAGAGAAGCCUUGACCAAGCCUUAGCCCAAGUAUGGUCCUGUCUUGCCAAUACAGUGUCUAUCCAGGGACAAUGCGGAUGAACCUUUAACAUUUAUUUACUGUCUAAAUCUAAU
rnacentral:lncRNA from 1 species